rnacentral:rRNA from 1 species
AGAGUUGAUCCUGGCUCAGAACGAACGCUGGCGGCGCGUCUUAAGCAUGCAAGUCGAACGGCAAGAGGUAGCAAUACCUCCUAGAGUGGCGGACUGGUGAGUAACACGUGGGUGACAUACCCUUCAGAUGGGGAUAGCUAUAGAAAUAGUAGAUAAUACCGAAUACGAGCACAGGGGUUAGAGAUCUGUGAGGAAAGGAGCUAAGGCUCCGCUGAAGGAAUGGCCUGCGGCCCAUUAGCUAGUUGGUGAGGUAAGAGCCCACCAAGGCGAUGAUGGGUAUCCGGCCUUAGAGGGUGAACGGACACAUUGGGACUGAGAUACGGCCCAGACUCCUACGGGAGGCAGCAGCUAAGAAUAUUCCGCAAUGGACGAAAGUCUGACGGAGCGACGCCGCGUGGAUGAAGAAGGCCGGAAGGUUGUAAAAUCCUUUUGAAACUGAAGAAUAAGCGUUGUAGGGAAUGACAGCGUGGUGACAGUAGGUUUUGAAUAAGCAACGGCUAAUUACGUGCCAGCCGCGGC